ACAGAGCUGCUCAAAAGAUUCGGUUCGCCCCUGAGCGACCGAUCAACCGCGUUCGCUUGUGCCACGCUUGUGCGUGUUGCAAUUCUGCGCUUUUAAGAGAGCUUCCAGCUGUCGCUUGCUUCGCAAACGCAUUGAAAGCAGCAAAACCUAGCUUUUUAGCGAAACCGCGCAAGACGCGCCAAUCCUGCGGAAACCAGUACCUGAAAAUGCAGCGUCAACAUGUCGAGCCUUCUCUGCUGCCGCAGAUGAGAAGUCGCAGCAAGUAUGCCUCCACCGAUGUGAUUUCUCUGACCGUGUGACUGGGAAACUGUUCUGUGUGAAUACAUGUCAGGGCCCAAUCAGGCGAUUGUUCAUGUAAAUGCCAAUUGUACCCACGGACCUUCUUGUGAAGGUCUAAUCUCAAGGACAAUCUACUCAUCCACACAGUAAAAUGCCAUUUCAGUGCCCUUCAUGCGCUGAGAGCUUUUUGCAAGAUGGCAUUCUGAAAGGACACCUGCUGACCUACGUGUGCAAGUCGCCAUUUCAGUGCCAUUUGUGUCCUGAGAGCUUGUCACAUAGAUGAAAUCUGAACGAUCACUUGCAGAUCCACUGAGGUGAGCGUUCACAUCAGUGUCCCUCGUGCCCUAAAACUUUUGCGAAUAGCAGUAAUCUCAAGGGGCAUUUGUGCAUCCACCAGGGAACCAACCCUACCACUGCAUCAUCUCCUCAAACAUUUUCGUGCAGGCUGGUAACGUGAGGCUACAUAUGAAAGCACAGCACCAUGAUGCUGCUGAGGUCACCAGCCACGCUGGUGUACUUCGUGCGAUACACAAAUGGAGUCUGAAUUGGGAAUGUAAGCAGUCCACGUGUGAGGUGGCGUUCUGGUGCAUUAGGAAGUGCAAGUGUUGCCUUACGUUGUGUUUUUAACUGCUGAUUAACCUUACAGCAUCUUUCAACAUUGUCUAAUAAGUUGCAGGGAAAUUUGUUGUACUGAUUACACUAACAUUCCUGCGGUAUGGCUUCAUUGGAAAGCAAAAAAAAUUGAAGUGAUCAUCUGUCAACUAGGCCUUCAGGACACUUGCGUAUGCAAUAAAAGAGGCUUGAGAAAUUUUGAA
rnacentral:lncRNA from 1 species